rnacentral:lncRNA from 1 species
AUUGGGGCCUGCUCUUACUGCUGAUGUGCACCCAACGCAUGUCAAGUUCUUAUCAAGUACAUCAUCAGUGACCUGCAAAAUGACAAGAAAGCUGUCCUCAGUUACCUGUCUUAUACCAAACC